UCCCGUGUAGUUCAGUUGGUAGAACAGGCGACCGAUAAUCGCCGCGUCACUGGUUCGAGUCCAGUCAUGGGAA
rnacentral:tRNA from 2 species